AUUGAACGCUGGCGGCAGGCCUAACACAUGCAAGUCGAGCGAGCGGCGGACGGGUGAGUAAUGUAUGGGGACUGCCCGCUAGAGGGGGAUAACUACUGGAAACGGUGGCUAAUACCGCAUACUAUCGGAUAACCCAUAUGGGAUUAGCUAGUAGGUGGGGUAAAGGCUCACCUAGGCGACGAUCUCUAGCUGGUCUGAGGGGAUGAUGACGGACACUGGGACUGAGACACGGCACAGACUCUUACGGGGGCAGCAUGGGGUAAUAUGGGACAGUGGGCGCAAGGCUGAUGCAGCCGUGGCGCGUGUAUUAAUAAGCGCUUAGGGUUGCAAAGUACUUGCAGCGAGGAAGCGUUACCCGGAGAAGACGCACCGGCUAACUCCGUGCCAGCAGCCGCGGUAAUUC
rnacentral:rRNA from 1 species